rnacentral:lncRNA from 1 species
GUAGCUCUCCCAGUUCCUGACACAUGUCAUAGAAAAGCAUCUGGCCAAAGAUGCCAUUCUUCAAUUCAGAGGGAAGACUUUCUGGAGCUUCAUGGCUUAACAGUUAACCGAGUAUCCUUGUAACAGCUAAGUACCCUUAGCUUAACAAAUAAAAAAACUGAAACGCAUUUGGAAAGACAAAGGCUACGUAGCAGGAGUCAGCUUUCUAGAUUAAUAUUACAACAACAUAAACAACAAUCAACAUUGAUUGGGCACUAGGUUCUGUGCUGGGUUUGUUCCUAUGUCAUUUCAUUCAAUCCUCACAGGAGUCCAAGGAGAUGCACUAUUAUUUUCUUCAUGUCACAGAUGAGGAAAUGAGAAUGAAGAUGUCGAGUGACUAUUCCAAAGGCAUAGUAAGGAGUACCCAGCCUUUGAACCCUCCUUUCUGAAUGGAAGUGUCCCUCUAAUCAUCCUUGCUAAACAUUAUAGCUUCAAAAUUAAAGAAUGGCCAAACUUGGCCAUAAAGGAGUAGGAGUAAAUAAAGAUGAUGACUGGAGCUAAAAUAUAGUCACUUAUCUCUGAAAUAAUGGUCACAGUGAGGAAGAAAUUCAAAAUCCGUACUUUAACUUUUGUUGUUGUUGCGUUUAGUCUCUAUCAAGGUUAAAAUUAUAGCAUUUAAAAUGCCAGUGUUAAGAGAAAAAAAAAGGAAAAUGCUGUGUGAAGUUAGCAAGAGAAAGAGGACCAUUAAAACAGCAGGAAUGAAUAAAACUCAGAAAGCAUGAAACAAGAUGAGAUCAGUCAGCUCAAGCUUCCUAGUCAUGACUGCAGGGAGAGGCCAAGCUCUAUUUUCCCCAUUUAACUGUAAAUCCAGACAAAGUGACAGAGAAAGGUUAGAAGUAAAAGGUAGAGCAAGAGGUUACCUUAAAAAUACAAAUAAAAGAAGGCCAAGGACAUGUUAUCAUUAAUAUCGUAUAUUGUGGAAAUCAAAGGAAAAACAAAGCAUUAAGCAGAGGACAAUUUUUAAGUGAAGGUUAGAGUCUCCAGUGAAGAUGACAGGGGGGCCC